UGUUCUUUUGCUCUUCGAACUAAAUCUUGCUGCUGCUUACUCUUUGGGCCUUCGCUACCUUUACGACCUGUAACACUCACUGCCAAGGUGUGUAGCUUCACUCCUCAAGUCAGCGAGACCACCAACCCACCGGGAGGAGCUAACAGCUGUGCUACGCGCCACCUGUAAGAGCUGUAACACUCGCUGCGAAGGUCGGCGGCCUCACGGGGAGGAAGAAACAGCUCCCGACGCGCCACCUGUAAGAGCUUAACGCUCACUGUGAAGGUCGGCGGCCUCACGGGGAGGAAGAAACAGCUCCCGACGCGCCACCUGUAAGAGCUUAUGGCUCACUGUGAAGGUCUGCGGCCUCACCGGGAGGAAGAAACAGCUCCCGACGCGCCACCUGUAAGAGCUCACUGAGAAGGUCUCCGGCUUCACUCCUGAAGUCAGGCAAGACCACGAACCCGCCAGAAGGAAGAAACUCCGGACGUAUCUGAACAUCAGAAGGAACCAAUUCCGGACACACUGUUUGCAGGGAGGUGUAGACGCUGAUCACCGUUUCCAGUCAUUUUAAAAAUUCAG
rnacentral:misc_RNA from 1 species